AAACGCGGUGGGAACCGCCCCCGACUCCAGGCAACUCCUUGGCCGGGCGGGGGAGAGCGUCCCCGUCAGCUGAGAGCAUCCUCACUCGGUCAGUUCCUCGGGCGAGUUACGGGGACGACCUGCGGGAGCACGCGGGCAGUGGCCGGACGCUGAAGCCCAGGAGAGCGAUGGAGACGUAUGCGGAGGCUGGGAAGGAGGGCAAGCAAAGAGUUGUCGAGCAUCCACGUUGUGCCAAGGAUGGUUAGAGCAUGGAGAGGUGCACCCUUUUGGGAGAUGGAGGCAUAUGCAUAGUGGGCCGUGGCUGAGGAUGAGGAUGGAGCAGCUGUGGUCCACCUUUGAGGCCCAUCUCCCUCAAGCAGCUACCAAGCAGUCCUUCCUGUGCAUCGGUGGAUCUGCAGGGAGACAGCUCCUUACAGGUGGAGAUUUCUGACGCAGUGAGUGAGCGGGACAAGGUGAAAUUCACUGUUCAAACAAAGGUGAGGCAGUGCGGGGCACGAGGAAAGGUCCUGGUGGCUGCCCGCAGGAGGCCUCCCCCAGGGGUGGUAGGCAUGUGCCAACACAGCCUGUGGGCACUCUUCCUCCACCUGGCACUUGCCCUCAGCCCCUCCUGGGAAGUGAGCCUCUUAGCUCUGCCUAAGGCCCCGAGUCCUAAUCAUUCCUGUCCACCAGUCUAAAUGAAAUCAUGCACACCUGAGCUCUAACUUUGUCCUCCCUGGGAUGUGGGAUGAGGGGGGCCCAAAAGUGGGUGCCCAGGAGACUUGCUGAGGCAGGGCUUGGGGCAGAGAGAGGACCUCAGUUGGCCUUCCCGCUUCCAGAGCUGCCUCCCUCACUUCGCCCAGACCGAGUUCUCAGUCGUGCGGCAGCACGAGGAGUUCAUCUGGCUGCAUGAUGCCUAUGUGGAGAACGAGGAGUACGCCGGCCUCAUCGUGAGGAGGGGCUGGGCAGGGGCUGGGAGGGACAGGCAGAGCACUUGGGUGAGGACCAAAGGCUGUGAUGGCCGUCUUGGCAGUGAGAGGCCUCCCAGCUCCGUCCCUCCUUUGAGCAGAUCCCCCCAGCCCCUCCGAGGCCAGACUUUGAGGCUUCGAGGGAAAAGCUACAGAAAUUGGGCGAGGGGGACAGCUCUGUCACUCGGGAAGAGUUUGCCAAGAU
rnacentral:sRNA from 1 species